GCAUGUUCAAAGGGCAGUGAUCAGAGUUUGGUCUAGUUUCUCACUCGUCAUUCGCCUGCUACUUGGAUGUGAAGCCUAGAGGAAAAGGAAAACCUUCCUCUUAUGCAUAUUCUUACUGAAUUAUUUCCGUAAGGUUGAUCAUCCUUCAGUUCUCUUUCCGAUCCACAAAAGUCGCAGCAGAUAUGUUUUGGGGUUUGCACGAUGCAGAAGAGUGGCAGGGGUAUACCUAUGUCUCCUCACAGUUUUCAGUGCAGCACAGUUGUGGAUGCUCCAGCAACUAGUUGUACAAAUAAUGAUCUAAGCUUCCAAAAAGCAUCUGAACCUGAUUUUUAUUGUGUGUUUAUUGAGAGUGUGAGAAAGAUACUAUCCAUAUGUAACCAGUGACAAAACGACUAUUUUAUUGCUCCUCUUUAUAGUUCACUACCUUCCAUUAAUGCACCAUGCCAAUGUAUCUGUUUGGUUUAAGAUUCAGUACAAUGUAGUCAGUAUUGGAUGAGUAUGGUUGUUAAAAUGCCAACAAUGUUGUAUUGGAUGAUUAGUAUGGUUGUUAAAUGCCAAGUUAUAUUUGGAUGAA